AACGAACGCUGGCGGCGUGCUUAACACAUGCAAGUCGAACGGGUUUAUUGGAUGUAGCAAUACAUUCAAUAGAUUAGUGGCGCACGGGUGAGUAACACGUAGGCAACCUACCCUUCAGUGGGGGACAACAGAGGGAAACUUCUGCUAAUACCGCAUACGGCCUUGUACUGGGAUGUACGAGGAGGGGAUCGCAAGACCUUUCGUUAAUAGAUGAGCCUGCGUAGGAUUAGCUAGUUGUAGGGUAAAAGCCUACCAAGG
rnacentral:rRNA from 1 species